CCUGCUGGGGCUGAGGGCUCGGUAGCCCCGGACGGCACCGGCCGCUCCCGCCCUCUCCGAGCCCCUGCGCAGCGGCCUGUGUUGGUGUAGGCUGCUGUGUUGCUUAGGCGUGGGGGCUUACACAGAGCCAAGGCCUUUUCUGCUUUCCGUACUGCUAAGCUGGUGAGGAAGUUGGGAGGAGACUCAGCCGGGACAGAUGACACCAGCUGAGCAAAGGACAUUCCACACCAUGUGACAUCAUGCUCAGCAUAGAAAGUGGGGGGAAGCAGGAGGAGGGGAGGGAUGUUUGGAGUGAUGGUGUUUGUCUUCCCAAGUCACCAUUAUGUGUGAUGGGCCCCUGCUCUCCUGGAGGCUGCUGAACGCCUGCCUGCCAUGGGAAGCAGUGGAUCUGUUCCUGGUUUUGCUUUGCUUACAUGUGUGGCAUUUGUUUUCCCCAUUAAAUUAUCUUUAUUUCAACCCACAAGCUUUCUAGCUUUUUACCCUUCCAGUUCUCUCCCUAACUGUGCUAAGUGGAGGAGUGAGCAAGUUGCUGCUUGGGGCUUGAUUGCUGGCUGGGGUCCCUACCAAGCCUAACCACAACAGCUCCUAUGAAAAUGUACCUCAGUGUUUAGCAGUAGUCAGGAAACAGUAAUGACUUUUCAGGAAUGACUAGGAAAAGAAGAGAAACCCCCCUGCAUGUGCAAGGCCAGCAUUUCAAAUGCUGCUCUGAUUCUUCAUCUCAAACCCCCACAUAUUCCAUAGGUGAAGGUGGCACUGACUGCAAUUGCAAGGCAAUUCUGGAAGAGUCACAGGCAUCAGAGGACACAUUACCUGCUGGGGUAAUGAGCUAAAGCAUUCUGAAGGUGGCUACUGAGCAGACAUUACCAAUUCCAUCAUGCCAACAGACAUCUUGACCUCUGAUUAGGCACUGGAGCCACCUAAACUCUAUGAAAGUUUUCAAGAUAUUUCAAAGAUUUUUUUCUACAUGGAAAUUCCAUUGGAAAAGAGAGACUUAUCAGAUUGCAACUAGCUUCUUUCCUUUCCACCGAAAGAUGAUCUUUCUGAAGUGGCCAGCAUUUCCCAGUUUGUCAAGAUUUUUGUUGUAAAGUCUAUGUUGGCAGUUGGUUAUUUGGCAAAAUGUAUUUCCUGUACAUAUUAACAUUUUCUAGAUUCUAUUCUUAAAUAAAUAUUAAUAUAUGCAA